rnacentral:rRNA from 1 species
AUUGAACGCUGGCGGCAUGCCUUACACAUGCAAGUCGAACGGUAACAGGUCUUCGGAUGCUGACGAGUGGCGAACAGGUGAGUAAUACAUCGGAACGUGCCUAGUAGUGUGGGAUAACUACUCGAAAGAGUGGCUAAUACCGCAUGAGAUCUACGGAUGAAAGCAGGGGAUCGCAAGACCUUGUGCUACUAGAGCGGCCGAUGGCAGAUUAGGUAGUUGGUGGGAUAAAAGCUUACCAAGCCGACGAUCUGUAGCUGGUCUGAGAGGACGAUCAGCCACACUGGGACUGAGACACGGCCCAGACUCCUACGGGAGGCAGCAGUGGGGAAUUUUGGACAAUGGGCGAAAGCCUGAUCCAGCAAUGCCGCGUGCAGGAUGAAGGCCUUCGGGUUGUAAACUGCUUUUGUACGGAACGAAAAGCCCCGGGUUAAUACCCUGGGGUCAUGACGGUACCGCAAGAAUAAGCACCGGCUAACUACGUGCCAGCCGCCGCAGUAA